rnacentral:tRNA from 1 species
AGUGUCAAGGGAUGGGAAUCGAACCCACGACCUUCCGCUUACCGGGCAGAUGCCAUGACCACUAGGCCACAUGAGC